rnacentral:misc_RNA from 1 species
GAUGAAGAACGUAGCGAAAUGCGAUACGUAAUGUGAAUUGCAGAAUUCAGUGAAUCAUCGAAUCUUUGAACGCAUAUUGCGCUCUUUGGUAUUCCGAAGAGCAUGCUUGUUUGAGUAUCAGUAAACACCUCAACCUCUUCUUGAUUUUUCAAAAGGAGGGUGGACUUGAGCUAUCCCAACAACCUUUACCGGUCGGCGGGCGGCUUGAAAUGCAGGUGCAGCUGGACUUUUAUCUGAGCUAAAAGCAUAUCUAUUUAGUCCUCGUCAAACAGGAUUAUUACUUUUGCUGCAGCUAACAUAAAGGAUAAUUGUCCUCUUUGCUGACUGAUGCAGGAUUUUACGACACUUUAUGUGUUGUUCAACACGAUCUCAAAUCAAGUAAGACUACCCGCUGAACUUAAGCAUAUCAAUAAGCGGAGGA